UGUGUGUCCUCUGAUGGAUUUUCAGCGUCACCUUCUGUGCAAAACAUUUGCCGCAUUCUGAACAGGAAAAUGGCUUCUCCCCGGUGUGAAUUCUCAUGUGCUUGUCACAGUUUCCUUUAUUGGAGAAACACUUUCCACACUCGGAACAGGAAAAGGGCUU